CUUUAUCAUUGCAGCAAUACGGGUGAAAAAGUUAGCCUCAGGUGCCGCAAAUUCUACACCCAUAUUUAGUUUGUGAGGUACUGAGGUGGUGUUUCUCCGAUCAACCGGUCAGAUAUUUAAUACCUAAUCAUAUAUUGUGUUACUAAUGGAAAUUGCACAACACUUAAAGAUACCACUCGAGGAGAUAAUAGUAGCCACUAAAAACUUCGACAAACAAAAUUUCAUUGCCAAGGGUGGAUUUGGGAGUGUCUAUAAGGGCGAACUCUCAUUGUUUGGUAGGCUCAUUGAGGUCGCUGUUAAGCGAUUAGAUCCUCAAUCAGAUCAAGGGAAACGUGAAUUCAUGACAGAAAUUUCAAUCCUUUCACGUUAUAAACACGAAAACCUAGUCUCUCUACUUGGUUUCUGUGAAGAGGGUGACGAAAAAAUACUUGUUUAUGAACAUGAAAGUAGAGGGAGCCUUGACAAUUAUAUACAAAACCCAGACCUCACAUGGAUGCAACGUCUUAAAAUAAGCAUUGGCGCUGCUCGUGGCAUAAAUUAUCUUCAUGACGAAGUAGGACAACAACAUAGAGUCAUACACCGAGACAUAAAGAGUGGAAACAUUCUGUUGAACAACGAAUGGGAAGCAAAAGUAUCAGAUUUCGGAUUAUCUAAAAUAGCACCCGCACAUAUACAACACACUUUUGUUAUUACCGGUGGUGCUAUUUGAAAUCUUGUGUGGAAGACUAGCAUAUGGAAAAGGAUCCGAGUCUCUAGAUGUCUUGGCUAAAAGCAAGUAUAUAGAUAACAAAUUGGAUGAGAUCAUUAUUCCUGAAUUGAGGAAGCAAAUGAAGUUGAGUUCCCUUAACACCUUCUCAGCAAUUGCAUAUCAAUGUUUGAAACCUGAUCGAAGUGAACGUCCAACAAUGGCUCACAUUGUUGAAGAACUUGAAAAAGCAUAUAGAAUUCAAGUGUCUCUCAAAACUGCAGAAGUAAUUCGGGUUGGAUAUUGGGGAAAUACAUCUAAUGGAGGUUCCCAAAAUUGUUGGGAUUUCAUACUUGAAAAAGAUCAUAAAUUAAAGAAGAUAACUAUCGAUCAUGGUGAUCAUAUAUACUCUCUCACGUUCACUACAGAAUCCAAGGGUAUUUUGUACACAUCUGAAAAGGCUGGUGGUAGGAAUGGUGGAGGCACAGUGAGUGAGGUAACUCAUUUUUUAACAAACGUACACAUACAUGUUGACUCAUUUAUUUACUUGUUACAAUUAUGAAUAGUUAAAAGAUGUUACUUUUUGGCAAAAUUCCACUAUGUGCUUUUCCAGAAGAAGUUUGAAGAGAAUGAGGAACUAACUGGCAUUAAGGGAACAAUUAGAGUAUUAACAUCAGGGCAUACAACUAUUUCGUCACUAACGUUUAUUACAAACGAUACGAAACGUGGGCCGUUUGGUCGAAAAACAGAUACCCCUUUCUAUAUACUAUGGGAAAAAGGAAAAUUUGGUGGAUUUUAUGGUCUUGCACACAACAUUAUUGAUGGCAUCGGUGUCUACAUGAAGUCUUCAUAUGACGGAUUCACACGGGUUGGAAAAUGGGGAAUGAAAUCUCAAGGACGUUCCCGAUAACCAAUGGUCUUUCCGACUCCAGAAAAAUCAUUGUCUGAAGACGAUAACAAUCGAUCAUGGUUAUCUUAUAUACUCUCUCAUGGCCCGGCCCAUGAGGGCGGGCAAGCUGGGCGACGGCCCAGGGCCCAUCGUUUUGAUUGGGGCCUCUAAAAAGGAUUUACGUUAUAAUUAUAUAUUGGCAUUGUUAAUUUUUAAACAAAUAUGAUUGUAGAUCGAUUGGAAAAGGUGCUUCCUCCAUUAUUCUCUAUCAGGUGUGUCCCGAGUUCAAUUCUGGCAAUGUGCAUGAUUUUUUAUAUUUAUAAUAUUAAAUGUUAUUGUAAUUUGUAUAUAUCAUGUUAUUUUAGACUUUACACAGAUGCCGGCAGGUUUACACACAAAUGUAAACAGUUAGAUUAUAGUUUACACACUUCAAUUAUUCAAAUUAUUUUUUUAAUAUUACAAAAAAAUCUAAUUAUAAAUUAACAAAACUAUUUAUUUUUUUAUGAAAUAAAAGCUAA